rnacentral:rRNA from 1 species
GAUGAACGCUGGCGGCGUGCCUAAUACAUGCAAGUCGAGCGAACAGAUGAGGAGCUUGCUCCUCUGACGUUAGCGGCGGACGGGUGAGUAACACGUGGAUAACCUACCUAUAAGACUGGGAUAACUUCGGGAAACCGGAGCUAAUACCGGAUAAUAUAUUGAACCGCAUGGUUCAAUAGUGAAAGACGGUUUUGCUGUCACUUAUAGAUGGAUCCGCGCCGCAUUAGCUAGUUGGUAAGGUAACGGCUUACCAAGGCAACGAUGCGUAGCCGACCUGAGAGGGUGAUCGGCCACACUGGAACUGAGACACGGUCCAGACGCCUACGGGAGGCAGCAGUAGGGAAUCUUCCGCAAUGGGCGAAAGCCUGACGGAGCAACGCCGCGUGAGUGAUGAAGGUCUUCGGAUCGUAAACUCUGUUAUUAGGGAAGAACAAAUGUGUAAGUAACUAUGCACGUCUUGACGGUACCUAAUCAGAAAGCCACGGCUAACUACGUG